ACGCCCCCAACCCUUCCCCGUCAUCCAUAAGUCACCUCCGGCGGCGGCGGCGGCCGCGUCUGCUACACCUUCUCCACCGGCAGGUCAGCUCAGAUGUCAACAACCAGGAAGAGACCUUCUCCCAGUUCUGCAGUUGGACAGAGCAAAAAGCCAUCUGGAAAGGCUCCCCUGCCCACGAAUCACCUCCCAGACGAUGAUCCCAAAGAUACCCUUCGGUGUGAGGCUUUAGAUGGUAAACCCAUGGUUUCAGAAUUUGUGGUACAGUACUACGCACAGAAGUAUGGUCAGUCUCUCUUCCUGGAUCCAAAUAAGAAAGGCGGCUAUGUUGAUGUGAGAUUUGCAGACCAUGAUCAAGCACUAUUAGUUGUAGAACGACGUGAGGAGUAUCCAUUCAAAGUGACUUGGACACGUACCGUUGAUAGAUCGCAGAUGAUUAGUAAGUCUGUCAUUUCUCAAUACGAUGCAAAAUAGCACUGUUAGUUGCAUGAUUUCUGCUCAAUGUAUGGCUUGAUGCUGGUAGCAAACGGAUACAUAGGUACUCCCUCGUUUAAAUCACUACUUUAGUGAUCUACACGCUCCUAUAUUUCUUUACGGAGGGAGUGCAUCAGACAUUUCAUGUUUUGCGUUGCUGUGUUAGUAACUUAAUGUAGCAUAUUCCAUGCAAUAUUUGUUCCA